AAAGCCAUGAGCUCUUCUGCUAUUCUGUGGGAGGUAGCUCUCCCCCAUCCUCAAAAGUCAUAAAUCCCAACUCUUCCCAUUGUAAUGGUUCAAACCUGGGCUCCAAUUUGGAACUCCAAGUUUUGACCAUUGGACUGUCUCCUUGGAACCAGAAAACAUUUGUAUACAAGAAAGCAACUAACAGUGUUUUUUGUUUUCCUUACCAGCAGGAUCUUUUGUUAGAGUUGAAGA
rnacentral:misc_RNA from 1 species